GUGUUGUAUGAAAGGAGAGUGGGUUAGCACUCCCCUUGCCAAGGAUGGGAGAGAUCCCU
ensembl:snRNA